AUCCUGAGUAUAAAGAAUCACAAGAUUUUUAUUAAGAGUAAGAUUUCCAUGUUCCUUCCUUACAGAUUUUUAUUCAGUAGAACACUGAAAUCUGAAUUUCUGACAAUCAAUCCGGAUGUUUCUUAUGAGCAGGAACCACUGAGCUGGGAACCCUAAAUAAUAUGGAAAUUGGAAUGACAUGGCCUAAGUUCUAAGGCAACUUUCAUAAGAUAUUCACACAGGUGGGAGAAGAAGGUUGCCAAUUUGUCCACUACUGCAAGCCAGCUUGUUUCCUAGCUUCUGUAGUUGCCUCCAGGGAGAGCUAAAUGCGAGAGGAGAUUAGCCUUAAAGUCUCUACAUGCUCAAGACAGGUUUUUCCAGAACUAGAUAAAAGCUACUUACAAGAUCAGUACCUGGGUCCUGGAGUCACUUCAAAUGAGAGCAUCAUUACCAAAGAAUUCAUGGUAUAGGGCUUGAAUAAAUGAGAUCAGAAGUCAAGAAACA
rnacentral:lncRNA from 12 species